UACGGAGGGUGCGAGCGUUAAUCGGAAUUACUGGGCGUAAAGCGCACGCAGGCGGUCUGUCAAGUCGGAUGUGAAAUCCCCGGGCUCAACCCGGGAACUGCAUUCGAAACUGGCAGACUAGAGUGUUGUAGAGGGGGGUGGAAUUCCAAGUGUAGCGGUGAAAUGCGUAGAGAUCUGGAGGAAUACCGGUGGCGAAGGCGGCCACCUGGACAAAGACUGACGCUGAGGUGCGAAAGCGUGGGGAGCAAACAGG
rnacentral:rRNA from 1 species